GCCAGCGUGGCGUAGUGGUUUGAGUGUUGGACUACAACUCUGGAGACCAGGGUUUGAUUCUCUACUCGCCA